AGAAGCACAUGGGAAAAUUGUCAUCAAGAUUUAUCUACCAUUCAUCACUAUGGUUAAAUUCAGAAAGAUGGCAACCUAAAAGAAAGGAAAUCCAUAUGCCAAAAAAAAGUUUGGCAAAGUGGAAGUCAUCAUGAUGGAAGCAACCAUUAAUGAUAAUUAAAGACAUCCAGAUGCAUACAAACAAAGCCUUGCAACGUGGAAGCUAUCAUCAAAAUAAUGAUGACGCAAGCA
rnacentral:lncRNA from 1 species